ensembl:lncRNA
UAAGAAUGGACAUUCGAGGCUUCUUUCAAAGAAAAACUCAGGCCACAAUCACGCCAACCUUUAACCAAGGAACUGCAAUAAAAGGUUUAAAAUGCUGAGGUUGUGGCCAGCUGGACGCCCACCUUGAGUCUGAUUCUGCCUGCUGAAGAACCUCCUGUCUUCAGUCCUCAUCCCCAUACAAGCAAGCUGCUUCAUCCGUCAACUGAACCUGGAUUACCUUCCUCAGCUGCUCACACUCCAGUGUUGACACUUACUUGGAUUUCAAACGCUGUUUUCCUUUGGACAAGGAUUUAACAUUGUCUCCUCUCUCUGGUAGAUCUUUUCCUCCCUGACCUGUGGAUCCAUUACAGUUAUUUAACUUUGAUUCAUAGUGACUUCCCUCUGGAUUAGAACAGCUGGGAAGGCCAGUUGAGUGCAUCCUACAUGAAUAGGAUGAGGGACCUAUGGAAUCUUCAAUACCCAGCAUCUGCACUGAUGGCGAAACAGCUAGUAGCUCAGUUUUUCAACAUUCGGAAGAAGGGACUGCUCUCAAAGCUAGGGAUUGACGAGGCACAACACACAUGCUACAGCAAGGGGGAUCCAGGACGACAGGUCAGAGGGGAGAUAUCAUCACCCCCACACACGGAGCAAUACUGGAAGAGCAUAUGUAGGAGAAGGACGCAACCCAAAACGGCAAUGCUCAUUGUCUAGUGGAUCUACGAGACUACAGCAACCUCCUUAAAAGGGUCCAGUAGUCAUCACAGUGGCAGAUAUCCAAGAAAGCAGGACCCUAAGAGCCUUCAUUAGGGUCAUGGGGAUGUGGUGUACAACACAAGAGGCCAACUUUAAGCCAAUAGCAGAAGUCACCAUCAAAUGCGGGAUGUACCAAGGAGAUGCUCUGUCCCCACUGCUGUUCUGCAUAGGCCUGAACCCCCCAGUGAGAUCAUUAACAAGACUGUCUAGAGAUACUGACUACGACAACCAUCAAUCGUCAAUCGACAGCACACAUCCACGAAGACAUCAGGAAGAUGGCCU